rnacentral:lncRNA from 1 species
UACCGGUACACAAUGCUCCAGAAUGCUGUUUUUGCAUCGUUUCGACUCUACUUCGCGCCGUUCGAUGCCAAAACCACUCCAACACUUCGUAAACUCAUUUUUGCUCUUCCAACCUUUUUGGAAUGCAAAAUGGAACUUUACAAAUCCACUUCUCUCGACACUUUAACCAAUUUGAUUAAAGUUCGAUUAUCGUUUUCGGGUUUCGAUACGUUACAAUUCGUUUGACGCUUAGCCGUCGACGGAAAGCUCCAAUCAAAUUAUUGAUUGCUGCUAUUUUUGAAUUGGCUUUUGUCAAAAACAAGUUGUGCAUGAUGGAUGAUUUAUGUGCACAUGCCAAGUGUUAAACAAAAUGCCAAAAAAAAUUUGUGCAUAGCGCAUUGUUCAUGCACGCGUGCUAAGCGUUCGAUGAAAUGCCAAAAUUGGUGUGCAUAUAACAGAAUGUCAAAGGAAACUUGAGCAUCCUGCAUUGUUCAUGUACGCAUGCCAAGUAUUCAAUAAAAUGUCAAAGGCAAUUUGCACAUUACUUGUGUGCGUGUCAAAUGCUUGAUGAAAUACCAAAGAAAGCUUAUGAAUGAUGCAUGGCCGACAUUGUUUGGAGAAAUACCUUGAAAAUGAGAGAAGUAGAGAAAUGAUAAUUGUCGCUUUUCCUCUUUUUCAGUUGUAUUAAUUUUUGUAUACCGAUGUACAAGAGUAAUAAAAGAAAUGCAUUCUAUUUUGCUAAUUAUCAUAAUUGACCAGCUUAAUCGGAGGUUGUCUAAAUAUGAAUAGGCGUAAUUAAUUAGAAAUCUUUAUGAUUUUUAAGGACUAUAGAACCUUUAAUCUCGAUUUUUCAACAUAUAAUCCCCUCGUCUUAGGCAAACGC